rnacentral:tRNA from 1 species
CCGUAGCUCAGUUGGAUUAGAGCAGCGGCCUUCUAAGCCGCCGGUCGUAGGUUCGAGUCCUACCGGG